rnacentral:rRNA from 1 species
GACGAACGCUGGCGGCGUGCUUAACACAUGCAAGUCGAACGAUGAAAGCGGAGCUUGCUCUGCUGGAUCAGUGGCGAACGGGUGAGUAACACGUGAGCAAUCUGCCCCUGACUCUGGGAUAAGCGCUGGAAACGGCGUCUAAUACCGGAUACGAGCUGCGAAGGCAUCUUCAGCAGCUGGAAAGAACUUCGGUCAGGGAUGAGCUCGCGGCCUUUCAGCUAGUUGGUGAGGUAACGGCUCACCAAGGCGUCGACGGGUAGCCGGCCUGAGAGGGUGACCGGCCACACUGGGACUGAGACACGGCCCAGACUCCUACGGGAGGCAGCAGUGGGGAAUAUUGCACAAUGGGCGAAAGCCUGAUGCAGCAACGCCGCGUGAGGGACGACGGCCUUCGGGUUGUAAACCUCUUUUAGCAGGGAAGAAGCGAAAGUGACGGUACCUGCAGAAAAAGCGCCGGCUAACUACGUGCCAGCAGCCGCCGUAA